GGCUGCUGCCAGUCAGGAUGCUUGAUGGAGUUGCAGUGCUGCCACACAGGCUUCCCGAGUGCUGCUUUGCUGGCUAUGUGCAGCAGCUAACAAAGGGUGGCUGAGUACCUACCUAUAGCUCUUUGCACCUCAGUAGGAGCUGCAAACAUAGGAGCUGCAAACAAAGCCUGCUUUGGGGAGAGAAGUGGACAGGGCUGAUUUUGCUCACCUUUCCUUCUCCUUGGUGCUGAGGAACAGCCCUGCCUUAGAGCUUGAGCAUGCUGCGGCUCACUGAGCUCUUCCAUUUUCAACCACGGCUUCAUGUACCCACACAGAUUUGCUGACAUGUAAAGAAACACCUUUGGAGAGCCAAACCACAACAGCAUGGAACAAACGGCUAUGUUUGGCUUUGAUUCUUAACAAAACCACGCUCUUUGUUUUGUAAGUUUUACUAAAAAAGAUAAAAGACUUACUAUACUUAAAUUGAUGGCUCAAUGGAUAUCUCAUCUCUUGAUUACAAUUAUGCUUAUGGCAAGAACAUUACCAUCAAUUGUAAUGCCUGAAAAUGUUGUGGGAAUUUGAAGAAACCAAGAACUGACUACACACUGUCAGAUAAUGCCUCUAGGGUAAUGUGUGGAAGAAAAAGAGGGUUCUGCUCUUUCAGAAUUAAAAAAGAUUGUGGUCAUAGUAAAGUUUAUGUUAGUUUCAUCUUAGCUAAAGACCAUAAUUAUUUGCAAGAGAAAUUUGAAUGUAAAUAUUGUCAGCAUUUUUUUCACACUUUUUUGUUGUGAAACAGAAACCAUUGAAUGUAAUGAGAAGGAAGUUAAGAAACUCCCUCUCAGGAUGCCGUGAGUUUCUUACAUAUUGCCACACCCUGUCAGUAAAAAACAGAUCUCUUUAAUUGCGGCUGAUCUGAUUUGCUUGAAAUACUGUGCUGCAAGCACUCGGCCAAAUUCUGUUUAGCAGCAAUGCUUACAGUUGCUCCUUGUGUCAAAAACUCCUGAGGUCAGAAUUUCAUCACUUCUUUAGCUUACUAACAGAUUCUCCCUCUUGUUUUUGAAGGCUUUUAAGUUUUUUUGUUUGGUUGGGUUUUUUGUUGCUGUAAGAAAAAGAGAGAUGAGAGAAAAGAGAAAUAACAGCUCUAAACGCUGAGCUAUUAUCUAUACAAUUGAUUUAUGAUGGCUUAUGAAAUUUACCUGUACUUCAGUCCUUGAGGAGAACAUCACUUAGGGAGUAAGAAUACUUCUGUAAUUACGCUCAGCAGUCUCUUUUUUUGGUAUCUUUUUUGAGCCAUGAGUAAAAGCACAAAUGUUUUUUUCAAGUAAGGCGGACCCUGAGACUGAUUUCUCAUCAACUUCUAAAUAACCUGGAUACUUCUUGUGUACCUGGAUUGGAUUAGGUUGGCGGGGGAGGUAGGCUGCUUUCCUGGAAAUCUGGCUCCCAGAAAGUCACUUGUUCAGUAAAAAGUUUUAUCAAAUUGUUUUUUAAAUCUUAAUCUUUGUGCAGCAUUAAUUUGCAUACUUCAUUCCUUACUGUAAAUUUCAUUCCUUGGCAAUUGCAUUGCUUUUUUGUAACUGUGCUGUGAAUGAAGUAAGCCUUAGAACUAUUGGGGCCAACUACCCACCUUUGAUAAGUAAAGAAUAAAACGAUCAAUUCUAUGAUAGAUCUGUCAGAGGCAGUCUAAGGGAGCAUGUUAUUUUUAGUCCUACUUACUUUUUGGAUAAAAGCUUAAAGGGAAGAAGAUCAACAUAUAACUGAAAUUAAGCCCUUGGCAAUGCCUGUUCUGCUGUGUAAUUCACAAAUUAAUGGAUCAUGAAAAGACCUUUAAAGAAUGUCACCCAUCAGAAAUACUACCUUUGUAUGUGCAGUGCCUGUGUCCCAGAAACCCUUGUGUUGAAUUUACCUCACUAGAAGCCUGCAAUCCUUUUGAGAAAGGAUGAAAGAACCAUAAAAUAAGUUUAUGUUGUUCAGUCAACAAAUGUUAUAAAUGACUAACACAAUAUAAGCAAACCAGUAAAUCUAAUCUUUUGCAGCAUGUAUAUUUAACAGUCAUAAAAUCUACUUUUGGGGAUGUUGAUAUUAGUCUUUUGGUUUAGAUGCUGCUUGCCAUAUAUUCAAAUUACUUAGACCUCUGAAUAAAGCUAAUUUUUCUUUCUAGAAACAAACAUAAUUUUCAAGGUGACAAGAAAUCUCCCACAGAAAUUGUAGAAUAAUAAGGUCUAGUAAAUGCUUGCUAUUCAAAAUAAGUUUACCACCACAGCGUCUGAAAACCUUGUCAUGAAGGUAAUAAACAAAGCAUGACUUCC